UUUGUUGGUUUUUUUUUGUUUUUUUUUACUUGAAACAAAGUCUCAGCACAGCAGCCCGAUGCACGGCGAUGCCAGGCAGUCGACGGUCUGAGAGAAGGACUAAGGCGCUAGUGCGGAUUUGUUGUCAGUGCUCUCUCCAGACCUGAAGCUGGAUGAGUUGGCGGAGCCCUCUGCAUGAUGCCUUGAGCAGCUGCUGUGAAGAACCACAGGGCAUUGAGAAGCUGAACACUACAUCCCAGUAGCCCUUUGUCAGUUCUUUGGCCAUGAGUUCCAUGAGUCACAGUGAAGUGCUGCAGCUAGACCUUUAAUUGUUGACACGCUGCUUUAUGGAGCUGCUCAGAAGUACAUAAAUUCUGUUAGACAGAUGAUUGUGUAAGACCUCUUCAUCUGGAACAAAACUGAUCCUGCUACUUUUUUAUUAUUCUUUCUUUACAUAGGCUAUCUACAGCUGUCUGAAGAUAUCAGGUAUCAGGAGUAACAGUCCAAAUGUAAGGCAUUCUCCAUUCCAUGUUUGUGCAAAAUAUAAGAAUAAUGCCUAUUUACCUGGUACUACUUUAAUUUUCAUUUGAGAUGUUUUGUGAAAAUUAUAAAUUAACUUUUCCCUGGUCAAAAAGGCAUUUAUAUGCAAGUGUUUAUUGUUUUUAUUGCUUUAAAUAAAUAAAUAAAUAACAUGAAAACCCAAGUUCUAAAUCAAAACAUUAAAAGAGUAGUGAAGCAUUUGUUCUCUGAAAGAAAACCUAGUAGAUUUGUGUCCUUGUUGUUCUGAAGUGCCAAAUAUUUUAUAUAGACUUAUAAGGAAAUAAAUCCAAAUACUAGAAUUUUUGAAUACUGGAAAAGAAACAGCUUAAAAAUAGCACAUAUGGUCAGUUGAUGAAACUUUUGGUUCACCAUGCCUGAUUAUUCUGUUAUACAACUAAUUUUAGAAAUUCUUCUGCAUGCAGUGAAAAGAACUACUGUUUCCUAAUUUUGCAUGUUGAUAUUAUUAUUUCCCUAUAUAAAAAGUCCUUUUUAUAUAGGGAAAUAACAAUAUCAGGCUUUCUUUAAACAAUGUAGUGGGUUGGCAAGGCUCUGGUAGUGGGAAGAUACAGGAGUGGCUCCUGUGAGAACUUGCUAGACGUUUUCUGCAUGUCAGAUAGAUCCAAUGCCAGCCAGAUCCAAUAUGAACCCAUCCCUGUUCAAGGCCAAGCCCAUCACCAAAGGUUGUAGCACUUCUGGGGUAAUGUGUUUAAGACAGGGAAAAAAGUUAUUGCGUAGGAGCAAUUGCAGCCAGAGAGAAGAAUGAGAACAUAUGGGAGGAACAGCUCUGCAGACUCUAAAGUCAGUGCAGAAUGAGGAGCAGGAACUACUCCAGGUUCCAGAGCUGAGAUUCCCCUGCAUCCCAUGGUGCAGCCCAUGGUGAGGCAGUUGUGCCCCUGCAGCCCAUGGAGGGCCAUGGGGAUGCAGAGAUCCACCUGUGGCCUGUGGAGGAUCCCCAUGCCUGAGCAGAUGGAUGCCUGACAGAGGCUGUGACCCCAUGGAAAACCCUGCUGGAGCAGGCUUCUGGCAGGACCUGUGGAAAGAGGAGCACAUGCUGGAGAAAGUUUGCUGGGCAGGAUUUGCUGCAGUGGACCUAUGCUUGAGCAGGUUGUGCCUGAAGGACUGCACUCAGUGGAAGGGACACAGACUGGAGCAGUUUGUGAAUAACUGCAGCCCAGAGAAAGGACUCAUAUUGAAGAAGUUCGUAGACUGUCUUCCACAGAAGAAACAUCACACUGCAGGAAGUGAAGAGUGUGAGGAAUUCUUCCUCAGAGGAGAAAGGAGAGAUAAAGACAAUGUGCAAUGAACUGACCUCAAUCCUGAUUCCCUGAGAAGUCAGGCAUAAAGUUGAGCUUGCGAAGAAGGGAUGGGUGGGGAGGAUGUGUUUUAAGAUUUGGUUUUAUUCCUCAUUACCUUGCUCUGAUAUGAUUGGUAAUAAAUUAGUUUCCCCAAGUCAAAUCUGGUUUUGCCCAUGACAGUAACAGCUGAGUGAUCUCUUCCUAUGCUUGUAUCAAACUGUGAGGCUCUUUUAAUUUUCUUCUCCCUUGUUCAGUUGAGGAAGGGUAAUGAUAAGAGUGACUUGGGUGGGCACAUGGCAUCCAGCCAGGGUCUACCCACCACAGACACUCAUUUAUGGGAUCUUGUGGUUGUGGCCU